GUAAUAUUGGCAUGUAGGGAAAGGAUGGUGGAAAAGGAUAAUAAUUUGUCUUUUUUUUUUGAGACGAAGUUUCACUGUGUUGCCCAAGGUGGAGUGCAGUGACGCUCUCUUGGCUCACUGCAACCUCUGCCUCCUGGGUUCCAGUGAUUCUCCUGCCUCACUCUCCGAAGUAGCUGGUGCCCACCACCAUGCCCAGCUAAGUUUUGUAUUUUUAGUAGAGACAGGGUUUAACCAUUUUGGCCAGGCAGGUCUCAAACUCCUGACCUCAGGCUAUCCACCCAUGCUGGCCUCUCAAAGUGCUGAGAUUACAGGUGUGAGCCACUGCGCCUGGCCAAUACUUUGUCUUAAAUGAACUUUAGAAAAAAAGACCUAUGCUUUUUUCUCUCCCUGAAGAUACAGAGAUGUUAAAACUGGGGUAGAAAGGUGCAAGAUUUUGAGCCCAGCAUCUGUUAGGAUUGGGUACUGGCUUUUGUCUCCUAUCCCUGACCUAGGAACUUCUCUGCCCAAGGAUAGGAUCCAUUGGCCUGCUGUCACUGGUGUUGGGGCUUAGGACAUAUUAUGCCAAAAUAUGACAUCAUGGAGGUCACUCACUGACGUUUUCUUUUUUUGUUGUUUUCCUUUCUUUUUUUCUUUUUCUUUUUUGAGAUGAAGUUUUGCUCUUGUUGCCCAGGCUGGAGUACAAUGGCACAAUCUUGACUCAGUGUAACCUCCACCACCUGGAUUCAGGUGAUUCUCCUUCCUCAGCCUCCUGAGUACCUGAGAUUAGAGGCAGGCAGGUGCCACCAUGCCCAGCUAAUUUUGUGUUUUUAGUAGAGAUGGCAUUUCACCAUAGUGGUCAGGCUGGUCUUGAACCCCUGACCUCAGGUGACCCACCCGCCUCAGCCUCCAAAAGUGCUGGGAGUACAGGCAUGACGCAUCACUGACUCAUUCUAACCUUUCUGUGUGAAAGCUGUCCAUAAAAUUAUUGUCUGACAUACCUCCCUUGAAAGUAGUUCAUAAGACUCUCGUGUGGCAUAUGUCCUGCACCAUACACAAAGGGAAAGGAUACAAUAGAGAGAGGCUAAAAAGAAUCUGAACUCCCAGGCCUUAAAGUUUACCCAAUUUAUUAUCAUAUCAUAAAUUAUUUUGUCCUAUAAUACUUCUACAUUACCUGUCCAUUCUAUCUUUUUUCUUUCUCUUUCUUUUUUUUUUGAUACAAGGUCUCACUCUGUCAUGCAUGAUGGACUGCAGUGGUGCAAUCAUGGCUCACUGUAGCUUCGACCACCCUGGCUCCGGUCAUCAUCCUACCUCAGCCUCCCAGGAACUGGGAUCCUAAAAAUUAUGGAACGAAUUGUAGAAACUCAAGCAACUUUCUCCAAAGCCUAGGGUUCAGCAAGAGUAAGCAAGAGGCACUGAGCCGCUGGAGUCUGCACAUUGAUAAAUUUACUUACAGUCGUAAAUAAAUUGCAUCAUCUUCAGCUAGUAACACAGAGUCUAAUUUUUAUAGCGGCAUACUUGCCUCCACGACUUUCCUAGACACCAGAAAGAAAGGCGAGAGCCAGCCUUAGCCUAAUCAAGAACCAUGAUCCAAAAAGGAGUGGGAGGAACCUAGCGGCCACGUGGGAAUCCCAGCCCUCCUAUUAAGCCUACCCUCUUUGCAAAUUGUGACUGUGAGCUCCUGGUUUACAGAAAUAUAUCCCAGAACUCAAGCAACAUGAGCCACUAUAAUUGUCUCUGGAAGGUGACCCAUUUGCAGAUAGGGACUUCCCUGAAGGUUGGGGCCCUCAUGAGCUAUGCUUUCCACCAAGUUGUCUCUAUAAGGACCAGUUCCAGGACCUCAGGGAGGAAAUUUCACUUUCUGCCUUGGUGGAAUGUGAAGUGAGUGGCUCCCCGGCCACACCCCACCCUCCAUAAAAUAGAAGGUAAAUCCCAACUGCCAAAAGCUUUUUGUCCUCCUCUCAGGGAUACUAAUUAAAGCAGUUGGGCUACUUUUUCAUGCAUUUCAUCUCAAGUUGUCUUUCUGCCUAUCUCCUGAGCCCAGCGAAAGAGUUCCUUAAAAUAACCCUCAAACCUCUGUAGUAAAGGACCACACAAAUAACGAAUGCCAUGAAAAAACAGGGCUAGAGGUUUCAGAGGAUGAGAAAGGAAGAGCAGCCAGAACACUGGCUGUCUAGGUAUGCUACUGGUGCCUGACUCUGCACCUGUGUGUGUCUGUGUGCUGUGUUCCAAUGGCAGAGCAUCGGGGCCACCAGAACUCUCUCAGCUACCGCACAUGGAGAGGGAGGAGUGAUAAAGAGAAAUCAAGAAACUCAGUUUCUUUGAAAUGGAAAUCAAUAAACUCAGUUUCCUCAAAGUUCAAAAUACAUGAGACUGCCUACCCUCCUUGGAAGGCAAGGUGGGGCUUUCUGAAGCAAAUACCAGCUUUAAAAAAAAAUGUAUAUAUAUAUGAAGAUAUAUACAAAAAAAAAAUUUCCCCACAACCAGACAAUCAGAAUCAUCAAACCCAGAAGGGUUAAAGAAAAAGAAAAGGCCCAGGAAAGUAUGAUUGGUGGGGAUCAAAAGUAUCUCUCCACAGUGGUAAAUGAGAAUUCUCAAAAAGAGUAAAAUUAUAAUUCUCAUGCACAUAUAAAAUAAAUAUGUAUUACAGAUUUUACUUAAACCAUAUAGCUCAAAAUUAGCUAACAAGGAAGACAUUAUAACCUGUUCAAAGAGAAGCCAAAGAAGGGAAAUUUAUAUGCUGUAAAGAAAUAUUUAAAGGAAUAUGGCAAAACUGACUCUUAAUAGGAGAUGCCCUAUGUGGUACAUAAUUUGUUUGUGUAUCUACACACAUGAAUUAUUUUGCACUUGUAUCACUAUCUACAACUUACACUGUUGUAAAGUAACUCCCACACAAUCAGAAUCAUAUAACCCAAAAAGGUAUCUUCCCUAACCAAACAAGGUUUUCCAAUAAAGCACUAUUUUG
rnacentral:lncRNA from 10 species